rnacentral:rRNA from 1 species
GAUGAACGCUGGCGGCGUGCCUAAUACAUGCAAGUCGAGCGAACAGAUAAGGAGCUUGCUCCUUUGACGUUAGCGGCGGACGGGUGAGUAACACGUGGGUAACCUACCUAUAAGACUGGAAUAACACCGGGAAACCGGGGCUAAUGCAGGAUAACAUGUUGAACCGCAUGGUUCUACAGUGAAAGGCGGCUUUGCUGUCACUUAUAGAUGGACCCGCGCCGUAUUAGCUAGUUGGUGAGGUAACGGCUCACCAAGGCAACGAUACGUAGCCGACCUGAGAGGGUGAUCGGCCACACUGGAACUGAGACACGGUCCAGACUCCUACGGGAGGCAGCAGUAGGGAAUCUUCCGCAAUGGGCGAAAGCCUGACGGAGCAACGCCGCGUGAGUGAUGAAGGUCUUCGGAUCGUAAAACUCUGUUAUUAGGGAAGAACAAAUGCGUAAGUAACUGUGCGCGUCUUGACGGUACCUAAUCAGAAAGCCACGGCUAACUACGUG